rnacentral:misc_RNA from 1 species
AACGCACCUUGCGCUCCUUGGUAUUCCGAGGAGCAUGCCUGUUUGAGUGUCAUAAAAUUCUCAACCUUUUCAAUCUUUUAUUGGUUGAAUUAGGUUUGGAUGUGGGAGUCUUUUGCUGGCUUCUUCAAGAGGUUGGCUCUCCUCAAAUUUAUUAGCAGGACCUUUGUUGCUGUCUCAGUGUUAGUGUGAUAAUUAUCUACGCUAUUUUGCUGAAAGCAACUCAUAAAAUAGGGUUUCCAGCUUCUAAUCGUCUCUUGUAGACAAUUUAUAUGACAAUUUGACCUCAAAUCAGGUAGGACUACCCGCUGAACUUAA